CUAAGUCAGAAUCCAAGCUAGCAUGCGACGCCUGCGCCCGCCGCUCGCCCCGACCCACGUUAGGGGCGCUUGCGCCCCCAAGGGCCCGUGCCAUGGGCUAAGUCGGUCCGGCCGAUGUGCCGUGAUAGGCCGCCUCGAAGCUCCCUUCCCAACGGGCGGUGGGCUGAAUCCUUUGCAGACGACUUAAAUACGCGACGGGGCAUUGUAAGUGGCAGAGUGGCCUUGCUGCCACGAUCCACUGAGAUCCAGCCCCAUGUCGCACGGAUUCGU
rnacentral:ncRNA from 1 species